rnacentral:lncRNA from 1 species
AUGAUGUUUGAUUGUGAGGUUGGGGACAGGGGACCUCGUGUGAGAUUGUUGGUUCUGUGGGGGGCUCGGGGUUGAGUUCCGGGUUGGCCCAGAUAAAUGGUGCAGAUUGUUGUGGGAUCCAAUCAUUCUUUUCGGCUAACAUGAAAUGAACUGUUGCACUUUCGCAGUUGGGGAGAACCAUGGUUUCACGAAUGGCUCCCUGUGGAAGUUAUUCAUUAGAAAGUAUCCGACACUAUGAACAUGUCAUAUCUAUGGCUAUGUAGUUAUAGCGGUCCAAAAUCAAAUAGCGGUCAUAUGAUAUAUAUAGGUUAUAGCGGUAAUUUUUAUACCAUGCAUAAUUUAUGUAUUUAUAUAUAUAAAUAUAUCUUUGAAAAAUAUUAAUAGUAAUAUCAUUCCAUUAUCAAAAACCUGUUGCAAAUCAAACACUAAUAGUAACUUUGAAGUAUUUAAUUUAAGAAUUAACACAAUCAAACACCGUUACUGCUAUAACCGCUAUAUAGGUUUCCAAAUAGCGGUAUUUAGCGCCGCUAAUAGUGGAACCGCUAUAGGCCACCAAUAUUUGGACAGCUACACACCCUGAGGUCCGCUAACCGCUAUAGCACCGCUAUUGACUGCUUAGAUCUCUGGUUAACCGGCGUUCAUUUCAGAACUAAUAACCAAUAACAAUGUGAACCAGUUUUGCUUUAAAAUUAGUUAUUAUGCGUUGAAUGCGUCUCAUUGUAAUAUAUAUGAACAAGCUACAUUUAUAUACGGUUCUUCU